rnacentral:tRNA from 1 species
CACUGUAUAGCUACUACAGCAUUAACCUUUUAAGUUAAAGAUGAGAAAGCACCUUCUCUACAGUGA